rnacentral:rRNA from 1 species
AGUGAACGCUGGCGGUAGGCCUAACACAUGCAAGUCGAACGGCAGCACAGUAAGAGCUUGCUCUUACGGGUGGCGAGUGGCGGACGGGUGAGGAAUACAUCGGAAUCUACUUUUUCGUGGGGGAUAACGUAGGGAAACUUACGCUAAUACCGCAUACGACCUACGGGUGAAAGCAGGGGUUCUUCGGACCUUGCGCGAUUGAAUGAGCCGAUGUCGGAUUAGCUAGUUGGCGGGGUAAAGGCCCACCAAGGCGACGAUCCGUAGCUGGUCUGAGAGGAUGAUCAGCCACACUGGAACUGAGACACGGUCCAGACUCCUACGGGAGGCAGCAGUGGGGAAUAUUGGACAAUGGGCGCAAGCCUGGUCCAGCCAUACCGCGUGGGUGAAGAAGGCCUUCGGGUUGUAAAGCCCUUUUGUUGGGAAAGAAAAGCAGCAGGUUAAUACCCCGCUGUUCUGACGGUACCCAAAGAAUAAGCACCGGCUAACUUCGUG